AGCGAACGCUGGCGGCAGGCUUAACACAUGCAAGUCGAACGGGCGUAGCAAUACGUCAGUGGCAGACGGGUGAGUAACGCGUGGGAACAUACCUCUUGGUUCGGAACAACACAGGGAAACUUGUGCUAAUACCGGAUAAGCCCUUACGGGGAAAGAUUUAUCGCCGAGAGAUUGGCCCGCGUCUGAUUAGCUAGUUGGUGGGGUAAAGGCCUACCAAGGCGACGAUCAGUAGCNGGUCUGAGAGGAUGAUCAGCCACAUUGGACUGAGACACGGCCCAAACUCCUACGGGAGGCAGCAGUGGGGAAUAUUGGACAAUGGGCGCAAGCCUGAUCCAGCCAUGCCGCGUGAGUGAUGAAGGCCCUAGGGUUGUAAAGCUCUUUUGUACGGGAAGAUAAUGACGGUACCGUAAGAAUAAGCCCCGGCUAACUUCGUGCCAGCCGCCGCUGUAAA
rnacentral:rRNA from 1 species